UGCAUCCUACGUCGGCCGGAUUCGUCGGCCGGUUACGUCACAGCGCCGCGACUAGGCCUGUCCCAAUUCGAAGACUCCUUCAAAUGCGGUCGACGAAUGUGGCCUUCUUUUCGCCUGAAUGAAGGAUGGGUCCGGUGUAUCCUUCAACAGGUAGCAUUUCCCAAGAUGCCUUGCGGGCCGGCCAGCAGAAAAACUUAAAAACAAUGGCGGACAGUGAAGCGGGAGCUGUCGGAGAGGAUUGCGCAUAUAAAUGAACAAAAGAGAAAACCAGGGAAUUUAUUAAGCUUAGGGCGGAGAUGGACCACAUGAUCACCGGAGCAAAGUAUUCGGCGGCUGUGGCAUGGAGACUAUUCUGGAGAAAAUGGGCAUCCAGGGGAAGGUGCCAGCGAUGACCAGCUUCUGGAUCUGAUCAGGGAGAACAUGAGGCUGCAGAGGGAGGCAGAGGGCCCAGGAGAGAAGGAAUAACUUUGACAGCUUUUUACUUUGCUAGAAAAAAAUGGUUAAUAAAGAUUAAACAUGUACAUAUAAAAGAAAUAUCUAAAUAAAAUCAGUUCUGCAUUAAA